rnacentral:rRNA from 1 species
UACGUAGGGUGCGAGCGUUGUCCGGAAUUACUGGGCGUAAAGCGUGCGCAGGCGGUUUUGUAAGUCUGGCGUGAAAGCCCCGGGCUCAACCUGGGAAUUGCGAUGGAGACUGCAAGGCUUGAAUCUGGCAGAGGGGGGUAGAAUUCCACGUGUAGCAGUGAAAUGCGUAGAGAUGUGGAGGAACACCGAUGGCGAAGGCAGCCCCCUGGGUCAAGAUUGACGCUCAUGCACGAAAGCGUGGGGAGCAAACAGG